rnacentral:rRNA from 1 species
UACGGAGGAUGCGAGCGUUAUCCGGAUUUAUUGGGUUUAAAGGGUGCGUAGGCGGGCUGUUAAGUCAGCGGUCAAAUGUCGGGGCUCAACCCCGGCCUGCCGUUGAAACUGGCGGCCUCGAGUGGGCGAGAAGUAUGCGGAAUGCGUGGUGUAGCGGUGAAAUGCAUAGAUAUCACGCAGAACUCCGAUUGCGAAGGCAGCAUACCGGCGCCCGACUGACGCUGAGGCACGAAGCGUGGGUAGU